rnacentral:rRNA from 1 species
UACAGAGGGUGCGAGCGUUAAUCGGAAUUACUGGGCGUAAAGCGCACGUAGGCGGCUUGGUAUGUCGGGUGUGAAAUCCCCGGGCUCAACCUGGGAACUGCAUCCGAAACUGCCUUGCUAGAGUAUGGGAGAGGGAAGUGGAAUUUCCGGUGUAGCGGUGAAAUGCGUAGAUAUCGGAAGGAACAUCAGUGGCGAAGGCGACUUCCUGGACCAAUACUG